GAGUUUGAUCUUGGCUCAGAUUGAACGCUGGCGGCAUGCCUUACACAUGCAAGUCGAACGGCAGCACGGGAGCUUGCUCCUGGUGGGCGAGUGGCGAACGGGUGAGUAAUGCAUCGGAACGUAUCCUGGAGUGGGGGAUAACGUAGCGAAAGUUACGCUAAUACCGCAUAUUCUGUGAGCAGGAAAGCGGGGGACCUUCGGGCCUCGCGCUCUUGGAGCGGCCGAUGUCGGAUUAGCUAGUUGGUGAGGUAAAGGCUCACCAAGGCGACGAUCCGUAGCAGGUCUGAGAGGAUGAUCUGCCACACUGGAACUGAGACACGGUCCAGACUCCUACGGGAGGCAGCAGUGGGGAAUUUUGGACAAUGGGGGCAACCCUGAUCCAGCCAUGCCGCGUGAGUGAGAAGGCCUCGGUGUAAG
rnacentral:rRNA from 1 species